UAAUGAAGGCCAGGCUGACAAGAUCUCAGA
rnacentral:piRNA from 1 species